GUGCGGCAACGGCUUCCUGAAGCGGCACUAAACACAUCGGAGCA
rnacentral:ncRNA from 1 species